AUUUUGGUCCCACUUGGAUGCAUCAGAACCCUAAUCCCUCGGACCAUAAACUCGAUACUUGAGCUUGUGGCUAAAUUAGUGGGGGAAUCUGAAGGCAAAGAAGAUGAAGUCAGGUCAUGUUUAGGCGAGGAAGAGAUGGCUGCGGCAGGUGAAGGUGUAAUGCUUGCCAUAGCUGAACAACUAUCUUGCCCUGGAGAUGCAAUGGAGGGAUUGUGAUUGCUAACUACAGAAUUUGCUGCCAGCAAUUCAAAAGCUAUUAAGAUAUCAUGCAAGCAUGAAUUGCAAUUUUGCCUAUGAAAGAAGAAAAAAAUGCUUUAUAAGGCACAUGGAUGGAAAUUUUUGUGAGUUCAUCUUAUAUCACAGUUAAAGCUUCUGCAUCGAUGCAGGUUUUAUUCAUGUCAAAUCAUCUAAAAUAGCAUGAAGACGCAAAGCUUGAGUUACUCUCUAUCCUGGCUUACCGACUUGUACUCUAAGAAACUAAAAAACGUUUGAAUAUCUGUACACUAUGUUAUAUGUUGUCAUAUGAAUGCACACAUCUGCCAUGGAUAUGCAUAAAUACAUAACAUAAACCCGCAUCCCCAUUGUGCAAAUGAAAAGGCUUAACUUCAACCUAGUCAAGAGACUUGACAAGUCUGAAAAUUUGUCACCACCUACAAACGCAUCUGCUAAUUGUGUCCCUCCAAAUCAAAUAUCUGAAAAAUCUAGUCACCAAUCUAGAUGCUUUCCGAUUUCAAUUUCCACCAUAUGUUGGCAGAAAGCAUUUGCUCAUGGUUUUGGAGAUAUUAAUAAAAACGUAUAGAAGAGAUAUUUAUUAUAAUAUGGAACCAUCUUCUAAUGCCCACUAAUAGAAAUGCAAGAUGCUUGGGGAAUGUUUAGAAACUCACCUCUGUACUCUUCAGCUUGUUCAUUGGACACGGGCAAUUUAGGUUGGAUGUUUUGUUGAAGAUAAGCAGUGAGACCUGCACGCAGGUUAGAAACUGAGAACUGAGGAGUUUCGCUCUGAACAGCUUCUUGGGAUUGGCGAGCAGGGGAGAGAGGUGAGCUCCGAGGAGCUUCUUGAAAUUGGGAAGAAGUAGAGAGAAAUCCAGGGCUCUGACUUGAGUAACCUGACCAAAAAAGCCAUACAAUCUGAUCAAGCACUACAAUAUAAUCUUAACUGUAUAAUUAGUUUUAAUACUUUCAUUGCAGCAUCUCUAUUCCCCUCUGCUUAGUAAAAAGCUUAGAAGAACUAUGAAGGGCAUAUGUUAAUCAUAAAAAUGAGUAUCAAUUUAGAAGCUAUAGUAAGAAUGUCUCCACACAAAUAAGUUGAUUAACUGGAUACCUAAAUCAUGAAAGACUAAAUAAGAUUAAAAUAAAGCAUAUAAGAAAAGUACGCUGUUGUAGAGCUGUGUAUGCAAUCUUUGCUGCACUCAUCUCUGCUUGCUUCUUAGUUUUUGCUCCUUGUCCUGUAAAAAUCUCUCCUUCUAUCUCCACUUUUGAAACAAAAGUAGGCACAUGAGCUUCACCAGAUUUGUCUGUCCAAUAAGUUGGCAAACCACAACCUUCUCUCUGAGCCAGUUCUUGUAAAAGACUCUUAUAGCCAAACCCAUCCUAAAAAGAAAACAAUAAAUUACAUAAAGAAGAGUAAUCAUGUGUCUAAAAGAUACAAGCACAAAAAUCGCAUUGGUAGCCAACAUAUUUUUGCAUCUCCACAAUGAAGUGAUAACAAUCUUAGAAAACUAACCUCUUCAACUCCAUUCGACAAUAAUGACAUCAAUGCAGCUUUUGCAGCUGCAAGUUCAGCUUUAUUCAAUGUGGGAAAAUAUUCUUGACUCUCGUAGGUUUGUCCAUUUACUGUGACCUUGCACUUAAAGCGACUAGCAUGAGGAGGACCCACACGCUCACAAGAAUACACAGGUAGAGUGAAAUUUCUCUUUUGAGCAUAGGUUUGCAGCUGGUUUUUAAACAAGUGCUGCAUACCUGUAAGCCAGGAGAAAAUUCAGAUGAAUGUGUCAGAUACUGACUUAUCAUGAAAACACAAAAUAAACUGGAGCGUUAUUUAAGACACAAAAUAAGGUGAUUCAAUAUCAGGUUUCCAUGGUCAGUAGAUGCUACCAUCUUCAAUCAGAAUUCAGUUUCUCAUUUGCUGCAAUAACUUGGCAACCAACAGUGCGUUAAAUAUAAAUGUCCCUCCUUUCCCCUUUUAUACUAUACAAUACAAACCUAUAAGUUACCAAAUGAAUUAAAUUACCCAAUUACAAAACAAUGAUUUUGAUUACAUGCAGCAGAUUUUCAACAGCCAAGCGAGGCACAAUUGAGUACAGAGAAAAUACAAUAACAAUAAUAAACAAAGAAAGGACUGAUAGAACAAUUGAAGUAGAAGUUCUUAUGUUUUCCUCCAUUCUAUAUUCCCAAAAAAAGUAUUAAAUGAGACAAGGGAAAUAGACAAAAGAGAAGUUAUCAGAGCAAGCUUAGCAGCAUCUUAAAAGAGAAGUUAUCUAGCUCUAUUUGUUGAGAUUUGGGCAUGGGGAAGAGUCCAUUCACCACAAGUAUGGCCGGAAAGCAAGAUUCACGAUCUAACCCAUCUUCAACAAACAAGAAUUUUCAUUAACUCUGUUAUAUAUGGCAGCUCAGCAAUGUGGUUAUGGUUAUUAUUUAGUUCCUUUCAUUUUUUCUCAUUUCAGUUCACUUCAUUUCUACAAUUUUUUUUAAUGCGUGAUAGAAUUUAUAAAAAAAUAAGAGUUAAGUUUCAGGUACAGAAAUAUUAGAAACAUUCUAAGACUCCAAUGUAUGUCAAAGAAGGUCAAUUCUAAAGAUCAUAAAUCCUCACACUUAAAAUUCAGAUCCAAAGUACGAGCAAAAGCUCAGCCAGAAAGAGAGCAGACUUGAUGCGGAAAAGUAUAAUAUAGAAAACCUAAGAAGGUAAACGACAAAAAAGCUAUAUCCAUCGGAAGAAGAUAACAAUUUCCAUCCCAAGAAAAGCCAUAAAAGUCAUAAACAUUGCAAGAGUGAAUUUCAUAAUGAUUGUGAAAAUUGUCUCUAAAUUAGGUUUUCAAUAAUCUCACCAAAAAUUAUACUAGUUAACUAUGAUAAUUUUUACAGAUACAUGAAUGGCAUGCAAGAAAAUAGUUAAUCUAAAAGAAAACCAAGAAAAUUUAUUCCUAAAAUAAAAACAAAGAUGGACCCACACACGCAAGUAAUUGAAGUUAUACACAGAUCUGUCAAAUUUAAAAGAUAAAGAAGAAAAACUGAUUCCAAAACUUAACAUAUUUAACAAGCCACAGGAGUAAUUGAAGAUAAAUAUAUAGAUAUCAAGCUAUUUGUAAAGCUAAAAUGCAUACAGCACAAACUAAGGGAUUCCAUCAUUAUUUUUUGCAGAAAUUGUGUAAAGGCAACAUAUUUGAGAUUUUUACCUCAAAUUUUCAAAUCAAGAGUUAGAACCUUAUUGUUCACGUAUGAAGCAGUUGAUUUUGGUUUAUAGUUAGUGAAUGAAUUAAAGUGGCUACAGAGAGAAGGUUAUUGUCAAUGAGAGCCCAUAGCAUUUCCUUAAAAAAGAUCCCAUUAGAAAAAUUGCAUGGCAGCAGCACCAGGAAGACCAUAAGAGGGGGAGCACUGAUGAUAAUUAAGCUUAAGAUGCUGUAUAUAUAACCUGUUUUCAUGCCUGUCAAUUUUGAGAGGAAAACCUAUUAUUUCCAUAACAAAUGGUUGCCGUUUUGGAAUGCAACCAUGAGUAUCAAGCACAUCCAACUGACUCCACUCCAGCAUUAAGAAACGGUAAUGAUUUUGAAAGGAUAAAAAAAACUAUACUAAAUUUGCUCUCACCUCCAAAAAUCUCAUCAUUUUUGGCAUUUGCCACGGCUUCAUUUGACAGGGGAGUUGGAUUUGCAUCUUGUAGGUUUAAUUGCAAUUUCCCUCCAGGAGAUAGAUGAGUAUUCUCCCCAGCGCUUCCACUGGAACAGCCUGCAGAAACUUCAGCAUAACAUCAGUUUCUUCAUUUCAUGAUGCAGUGUAAAUAAGCAUAGGCACCACUAGAUUGAUUUAUCAUAAAAAGCUUCAUGAUUACACGCAUCAAUCAAUCAUUCUAUUAACAAAAUAUAAAUAAAUUAUAAUAAUCAAACAUCAAACGUUAUUAUGCAAGCAUUCAUUCUGAAACAAACAUUAAUUUACAAAGUAAUUUCAUUUCAUUAAAAUAAUUACAUCCAUAGGAAGAAGAUAACAAUGUCCCAUCCCAAGCAAAGCCAUAAAAGUUAUAAACNNNNNNNNNNNNNNNNNNNNNNNNNNNNNNNNNNNNNNNNNNNNNNNNNNNNNNNNNNNNNNNNNNNNNNNNNNNNNNNNNNNNNNNNNNNNNNNNNNNNAUAAUGAUUGUGAAAAUUGUCUCUAAAUUAGUUUUCAAUAAUCUCACCAACAAUUACACUCUUUAACUAUGAUAAUUUUUACAGAUACAUGAAUGGCAUGCAACAAAAUAGCUGAUCUAAAAGAAAACCAAGAAAAUUGAAAGCAAAAAUAAAAACACAGAUGUACCCACACGCACAAGUAAUUGAAGCUAUACACAGAUCUGUCAAAUUUAAAAGAUAAAGAAGAAAAACUGAUUCCAAAACUUAACAUAUAUAAUAAGACACAAGAGUAAUUGAAGAUAUAUAUAUAUAUAUAUAUAUCAAGCUAUUUGUAAAGCUAAAAUGCAUACAACACAAACGAAGGGAUUCUAUCAAUAUGUUUUCCAGAAAUUGUGUAAAGGCAACAUAUUUGAGAUUUUUACCUCAAAUUUUCAAAUCAAGAGUUAGAACCUUAUUGUUCAGGUAUGAAGCAGUUGAUAGAUAGUGAAUGAAUUAAAGUGGCUACAGAGAGAAGGUUAUUGUCAAUGAGAGCCGAUAGCAUUUCCUUAAAAAAGAUCCCAUUAGAAAAAUUGCAUGGCAGCAGCACCAGGAAGACCAUAAGAGGGGGAUCGCUGAUGAAAAUUAAGCUUAAUACAACUUUUUUUUUUAAAAAGGAGGUUGGUUAUAUAGGUUAUCUUUUGACACCAUAAAGACAACUGAUUUAGCAAAAUAAUUUCUAGAUGCUGUUUAUAUAACCUGUUUUCAUGCCUGUCAAUUUUGAGAGGAAAACCUAUUAUUUCCAAAAAAAAAUGGUUGCCGUUUUGGAAUGCAACCAUGAGUAUCAAGCACAUCCAACUGACUCCAACUCCAGCACUAAGAAACGGUAAUGAUUUUGUAAGGGAAAAAAAAAUCAAUACUAAAUUUGCUCUCACCUCCAAAACUCUCAUCAUUUUUGCCAACUGCCACGGCUUCAUUUGACAGGGGAGUUGGAUUUGCAACUUGUAGGUUUAAUUGCAAUUUCCCUCCGGGAGAUAGACGAGUAUUCCCUCCAGCGUUUCCACUCGAAAAACCUGCAGAAACUUUAGCAUAACAUCAGUUUCUACAUUUCUUGAUGCAGUGUAAGUAAGCAUAGGCACCACUAGAUUGAUUUAUCAUAAAAAGAUUCAUGAUUACAAGUCUAUUAACAAAAAAUAAAUAAAUUAUAACAAUCAAAUGUUAUCAUGCAAGCAUUCAUUCUUAAUCAAACAUUAAUUUACAAAGUAAUUUCAUUUCAUUAAAAUAAUUACCCUAAAAAAGUCUUUAUAAUAUCUGAUACAGUGCAAUUAAAGCACAAGGAAAUAUAAAAAAAGGAAGAAAUGAAGCAUUGCAAAGAAACAAAAGGAAUUCAAUUACCAGAAAGGGGGGAGGAGGAAGGGUGAGAGAGGAGGGAGAAGUGGUUAUAGGCAAGCUUAGCAGCGUCAUUUUGAGCUUUCUUAGAGGAAGAAGAGGGGAAAGGAGAGGAAAAGAGGGCGGCGUUGAUGGUGACGGUGGCAAAAAAGAGAGGGCUGUGAUCUUGUCCCAGUUUAGUGACUUCAUAGGUAGGGAACUCCCAUCCUAUGAUUCUUGUUUAUAGUUAGUGAAUGAAUUAAAACGGUUACAGAGAGAAGGUUAUUGACAAUGAAGAGGAAACAUGAAAGAAGAGAAACUGGGGCACAAAAACCUUGUUUCAAGUGGAGUGCCAUUAUGCUCCAUUGCCAAACAGGCUAUCAAACCCCAAUAUGACCAUUUUUUGGACCCAAUUACAGUUUAUAAUUUAUUAUGCACCCCACAUAUAUGGUUAUAGCAAUAAAUGGAAUGUUUCCAUAAAGUUUUGUUUAGAAAGAGAGAGAGCAUCACAGACACUUGCGGGUAUCUGAAACCUGUGAGCUAGGCUAUGUGUGGACUACAAGCACCAUGGACCCAACCAGGAUAUCUGCGAAUCAGGUGUUAGGCACUCAUGUGUGUCCAUAGCAUUUCCUUAAAAAAGAUCCCAUUAGAAAAAUGCAUGGCAGCAGCUCCAGGAAGACCAUAAGAGAGGGAGCACUGGUAAAAAUUAAGCUGAAUUCGAACAAUAUUUUUUUUUUUUGAAGCAGGUUGAUUAUGUAGGUUAUCUAUUGACACCAUAAAGACAACUGAUUUAGCAAAAAAAAUUCUAGAUGCUGUGUAUAUAACCUGUUUUCAUGCCUGUCAAUUUAGAAUGGAAAACCUAUUAUUUCCAUAACAAUUGGUUGCCGUUUUGGAAUGCAACCAUGAGUAUCAAGCACAUCCAACUGACUCCACUCCAGCACUAAGAAACGUUUAAUGAUUUUGUAAGGAAAAAAUCAAUACUAAAUUUGCUCUCACCUCCAAAACUCUCAUCAUUUUUGCCAACUGCCACGGCUUCAUUUGACAGGGGAGUUGGAUUUGCAUCUUGUAGGUUUAGUUGCAAUUUCCCUCCGGGGAAUAGACAAGUAUUCCCCCCAGCGCCUCCACUCGAACAGCCUGCAGAAACUUCAGCAUAACAUCAGUUUCUUCAUUUCUUGAUGCAGUGUAAAUAAUCAUAAGCACCACUAGAAUGAUUUAUCAUAAAAAGCUUCAUGAUUACAGGCAUCAAUCAAUACAUUCUAUUAACAAUCAAACAUGAUUAUGCAAGCAUUCAUUCUUAAUCAAACAUUAACUUACAAAGUAAUUUCAUUUCAUUAAAAUAAUUAACCUAAAAAAGUCUUUAAAAUAUAAGGAGGGAGAAGUGGUUAUAGGCGAGCUUAGCAGCGUUGUUUUGAGCUUUCUUAAAGGAAGAAGAGGGGAAGGAGAGGAAAAGAGGGUGGCGUUGAUGGUGACAGUGGAAAAAAAGAGAGGGCUGUGAUCUUGUCCCAGUUUAGUGACUUCACAGGUAGGGAACUCCCAUCCUAUUAUUAUGGUUUAUAGUUAGUGAAUGAAUUAAAGCGGCUACAGAGAGAAGGUUAUUGACAAUGAAGAGGGAAGAUGCAAGAGGAGAAACUGGGGGAGAAAAACCUCGUUUCAAGUGUAGUGCCAUCAUGCUCCAUUGCCAAACAGGCUAUCGAACCCCAAUAUGACCAUUUUUUGGACCCAAUUACUGUUUACAAUUUAUUAUGCAUCCCUCAUAUAUGGUUAUAGCAAGAAAUGGAAUGUUUCCAUAAAGUUUUGUUUAGAAAGAGAGAGAGCAUCAUGGACACUUGCGGGUAUCUGAAACCUGUGAGCUAGGCUAUGUGUUGACUACAAGCACCAUGGAGCCCACCAGGCUAUCUGUGAAUCAGGUAUUGGACACUCAUGUAUGCCCAUAGCAUUUCCUUAAAAAAGAUCCCCUUGGAAAAAUUGCAUGGCAGGUGCACCAGGAAGACCAAAAGAGGGGGAGCACUGAUGAAAAUUAAGCUGAAUACGAACAAUAUAUUUUUUUUAAAAAAAGGAGGUUGGUUAUGUAGGUUAUCUUUUGACACCAUAAAGACAACUGAUUUAGCAAAAAAAAAAUUCUAGAUGCUGUGUAUAUAACCUGUUUUCAUGCCUGUCAACUUAGAGAGGAAAACCUAUUAUUUCCAUAACAAUUGGUUGCCGUUUUGGAAUGCAACCAUGAGAAUCAAGCACAUCCAACUGACUCCAAUCCAGCACUAAGAAACGGUAAUGACUUUGUAAGGAAAAAAUCAAUACUAAAUUUGCUCUCACCUUCAAAACUCUCAUCAUUUUUGCCAACUGCCAUGGCUUCAUUUGACAGGGGAGUUGGAUUUGCAGCUUGUAGGUUUAGUUGCAAUUUCCCUCUGGGAGAUAGACGAGCAUUCCCUCCAGCGCUUCCACUCGAACAGCCUGCAGAAACUUCAGCAUAACAUCAGUUUCUUCAUUUAUUGAUGCAGUUAAAUAAGCAUAGGCACCACUAGAAUGAUUUAUCAUAAACAGAUUCAUGAUUACGGGCACCAAUCAAUACAUUCUACUAACAAUCAAAUGUUAUUAUGCAAGCAUUCAUUCUUAAUCAAACAUUAAUUUACAAAGUAAUUUCAUUUCAUUAAAAUAAUUAACCUAAAAAAGUCUUUAAAAUAUAAGGAGGGAGAAGUGGUUAUAGGCGAGCUUAGCAGCGUUGUUUUGAGCUUUCUUAAAGGAAGAAGAGGGGAAGGAGAGGAAAAGAGGGUGGCGUUGAUGGUGACAGUGGAAAAAAAGAGAGGGCUGUGAUCUUGUCCCAGUUUAGUGACUUCACAGGUAGGGAACUCCCAUCCUAUUAUUAUGGUUUAUAGUUAGUGAAUGAAUUAAAGCGGCUACAGAGAGAAGGUUAUUGACAAUGAAGAGGGAAGAUGCAAGAGGAGAAACUGGGGGAGAAAAACCUCGUUUCAAGUGUAGUGCCAUCAUGCUCCAUUGCCAAACAGGCUAUCGAACCCCAAUAUGACCAUUUUUUGGACCCAAUUACUGUUUACAAUUUAUUAUGCAUCCCUCAUAUAUGGUUAUAGCAAGAAAUGGAAUGUUUCCAUAAAGUUUUGUUUAGAAAGAGAGAGAGCAUCAUGGACACUUGCGGGUAUCUGAAACCUGUGAGCUAGGCUAUGUGUUGACUACAAGCACCAUGGAGCCCACCAGGCUAUCUGUGAAUCAGGUAUUGGACACUCAUGUAUGCCCAUAGCAUUUCCUUAAAAAAGAUCCCCUUGGAAAAAUUGCAUGGCAGGUGCACCAGGAAGACCAAAAGAGGGGGAGCACUGAUGAAAAUUAAGCUGAAUACGAACAAUAUAUUUUUUUUAAAAAAAGGAGGUUGGUUAUGUAGGUUAUCUUUUGACACCAUAAAGACAACUGAUUUAGCAAAAAAAAAAAUUCUAGAUGCUGUGUAUAUAACCUGUUUUCAUGCCUGUCAACUUAGAGAGGAAAACCUAUUAUUUCCAUAACAAUUGGUUGCCGUUUUGGAAUGCUACCAUGAGUAUCAAGCACAUCCAACUGACUCCAAUCCAGCACUAAGAAACGGUAAUGAUUUUGUAAGGAAAAAAUCAAUACUAAAUUUGCUCUCACCUUCAAAACUCUCAUCAUUUUUGCCAACUGCCACGGCUUCAUUUGACAGGGGAGUUGGAUUUGCGGCUUGUAGGUUUAGUUGCAAUUUCCCUCUGGGAGAUAGACAAGCAUUCCCCCCAGCGCUUCCACUCGAACAGCCUGCAGAAACUCAGCAUAACAUCAGUUUCUUCAUUUAUUGAUGCAGUUAAAUAAGCAUAGGCACCACUAGAAUGAUUUAUCAUAAACAGAUUCAUGAUUACGGGCACCAAUCAAUACAUUCUACUAACAAUCAAAUGUUAUUAUGCAAGCAUUCAUUCUUAAUCAAACAUUAAUUUACAAAGUAAUUUCAUUUCAUUAAAAUAAUUAACCUAAAAAAGUCUUUAAAAUAUCUGAUACAGCACAAGGAAAUAUAAAAAGGGAAGAAAUGAAGCAUUACAAAGAAACAAAAGGGAUUCAAUUACCAUAAAGGGGGGAGGAGGAGGAAGGGCGAGAGAGGAGGAGAGAGGAGGGAGAAGUGGUUAUAGGCGAGCUUAGCAGCGUUGUUUUGAGCUUUCUUAGAGGAAGAAGAGGGGAAAGGAGAGGAAAAGAGGGUGGCGUUGAUGGUGACAGUGGCAAAAAAAGAGAGGGCUGUGAUCUUGUACCAGUUUAGUGACUUCACUAAGAAACGGUAAUGAUUUUGUAAGGAAAAAAUCAAUACUAAAUUUGUUCUCACCUUCAAAACUCUCGUCAUUUUUGCCAACUGCCACGGCUUCAUUUGACAGGGGAGUUGGAUUUGCAGCUUGUAGGUUUAGUUGCAAUUUCCCUCUGGGAGAUAGACGAGCAUUCCCCCCAGCGCUUCCACUCCAACAGCCUGCAGAAACUUCAGCAUAACAUCAGUUUCUUAUUUCUUGAUGCAGUGUAAAUAAGCAUAGGCAACACUAGAAUGAUUUAUCAUAAAAAGCUUCAUGAUUACAGGCAUCAAUCAAUCAUUCAAUACAUUCUAUUAACAGAAAGAACAUGAAAAUGAUAAUAAAUUAAUCUAAAUAUAAAUAAAUUAUAAUAAUCAUAUGUUAUUAUGCAAGCAUUCAUUCUUAAACAAGUGCAGCGUAUCAAAUACUGACUUGUCAUGAAAGCACAAAAUAAACAGGGGCGUUAUUGAAGACACAAAAUAAGGUGAUUCAAUAUCAGGUUUCCAUGGUCAGUUGAUGCUACUACCUUCUUCAAUCAGAAUUCAGUUUCUCAUUUGCUGCAAUAACUUGCCAACUUAAAUAUAAAAGUCCCUCCUUUCCCCUUUUAUACUAUACAAUACAAACCUAUAAGCUACCAAAUGAAUUAAAUUACCCAAUUACAAAACAAUGAUUUUGAUUACAGGCAGCAGAUUCUCCGCAGCCAAGCGAGGCACAACUGAGUACAGAGAAAAUACAAUAACAAUAAUAAACAAAGAAAAGACUGAUAGAACAAUUGAAGUAGAAAUUCUUAUGUUUUCCUCCAUUCUAUUUUCCCAAAAAAAGUAUUGAAUGAGACACAAGGGAAAUAGACACAAGAGAAGUUAUCAGAGCAAGCUUAGUAGCAUCUUAAAAGGACUUCCUCUAGUUCCACUAGUAAGCUUAGUAAACCAAUUAUUUCCAUAACAAUUGCUUGCCGUUUUGGAAUGCAACCAUGAGUAUCAAGCACAUCCAACUGACUCCAAUCCAGCACUAAGAAACGGUAAUGAUUUUGUAAGGAAAAAAUCAAUACUAAAUUUGCUCUCACCUUCAAAACUCUCAUCAUUUUUGCCAACUGCCACGGCUUCAUUUGACAGGGGAGUUGGAUUUGCAGCUUGUAGGUUUAGUUGCAAUUUCCCUCUGGGAGAUAGACGAGCAUUCCCCCCAGUGCUUCCACUCGAACAGCCUGCAGAAACUUCAGCAUAACAUCAGUUUCUUCAUUUAUUGAUGCAGUUAAAUAAGCAUAGGCACCACUAGAAUGAUUUAUCAUAAAAAGAUUCAUGAUUACGGGCACCAAUCAAUACAUUCUACUAACAAUCAAAUGUUAUUAUGCAAGCAUUCAUUCUUAAUCAAACAUUAAUUUACAAAGUAAUUUCAUUCAUUAAAAUAAUUAACCUAAAAAAGUCUUUAAAAUAUCUGAUACAGCACAAGGAAAUAUAAAAAAGGGAAGAAAUGAAGCAUUACAAAGAAACAAAAGGGAUUCAAUUACCAUAACGGGGGGAGGAGGACGGGCGAGAGAGGAGGAGAGAGGAGGGAGAAGUGGUUAUAAGCGAGCUUAGCAGCGUUAUUUUGAACUUUCUUAGAGGAAGAAGAGUGGAAAGGAGAGGAAAAGAGGGUGGCGUUGAUGGUGACAGUGGCAAAAAAAGAGAGGGCUGUGAUCUUGUACCAGUUUAGUGACUUCACUAAGAAACGGUAAUGAUUUUGUAAGGAAAAAAUCAAUACUAAAUUUGUUCUCACCUUCAAAACUCUCGUCAUUUUUGCCAACUGCCACGGCUUCAUUUGACAGGGGAGUUGGAUUUGCAGCUUGUAGGUUUAGUUGCAAUUUCCCUCUGGGAGAUAGACGAGCAUUCCCCCCAGCGCUUCCACUCCAACAGCCUGCAGAAACUUCAGCAUAACAUCAGUUUCUUAUUUCUUGAUGCAGUGUAAAUAAGCAUAGGCAACACUAGAAUGAUUUAUCAUAAAAAGCUUCAUGAUUACAGGCAUCAAUCAAUCAUUCAAUACAUUCUAUUAACAAAAAGAACAUGAAAAUGAUAAUUAAUUAAUCUAAAUAUAAAUAAAUUAUAAUAAUCAUAUGUUAUUAUGCAAGCAUUCAUUCUUAAACAAGUGCAGCAUGCCUGUAAGCCAGGAGAAAAUUCUCAUGCAUGUGUCAAAUACUGACUUGUCAUGAAACUGAGUACAGAGAAAAUACAAUAACAAUAAUAAACAAAGAAAAGACUGAUAGAACAAUUGAAGUAGAAAUUCUUAUGUUUUCCUCUAUUCUACAUUCCCAAAAAAAGUAUUGAAUGAGACACAAGGGAAAUAGACAGGAUAGAAGUUAUCAGAGCAAGCUUAGUAGCAUCUUAAAAGGACUUCCUAUAGUUCCAUUUGUUGAGAUUUGGGCAUGGGGAAGAGUCCAUUCACCACAAGUAUGGCUGGAAAGCAAGAUUCGCGAUCUAACCCAUCUUCAACAAUCAAGAAUUUUCAUAAACUCUGUUAUAUAUGGCAGCUCAGCCAUGUGGUUAUGGUUAGUAUUUAGUUCCUUUCAUUUUUCUCAAAAGCUGAAUACGAACAAAAAAAAUUUUAAAGGAGGUUGGUUAAUCUUUUGACGCCAUAGAGACAACUGAUUUAGCAAAAAAAAUUCUAGAUGCUGUGUAUAUAACCUGUUUUCAUGCCUGUCAAUUUAGAGAGGAAAACCUAUUGUUUCCAUAACAAAUGGUUGCCGUUUUGGAAUGCAACCAUGAGUAUCAAGCACAUCCAACUGACUCCACUCCAGCACUAAGAAACGGUAAUGAUUUUGUAAGGAAAAAAAAAUCAAUACUAAAUUUGCUCUCACCUCCAAAACUCUCAUCAGUCUUGGCAACUGCCCCGGCUUCAUUUGACAGGGGAGUUGGAUUUGUAUUUGACAGGGGAGUUGGAUUUUCUUGAGAUAGACGAGUAUUCUCCCCAGCGCUUCCACCCGAAAAGGCUGCAGAAACUUCAGCAUAACAUCAGUUUAUUAAUUUCUUGAUGCAGUGUAAAUAAGCAUAAGCAACAAUAGAAUGAUUUAUCAUAAAAAGCUUCAUGAUUACAGGCAUCAAUCAAUCAUUCAAUACAUUCUAUUAACAAAAACAACAUGAAAAUGAUAAUUAAUUAAUCUAAAUAUAAAUAAAUUAUAAUAAUCAAAUGUUAUUAUGCAAGCAUUGAUUCUUAAUCAGACAUUAAUUUACGAAGUAAUUUCAUUACAUUAAAAGAGACAAAAUUACGAAUUCAAUUACCAGAACGGGAGGGGGAGGGGGAGGAGAUGAGGGAGAAGUGGUUAAAGGCGAGUUUAGCGGCGUCGCUUUGAGCUGUCUUAGAGGAAGAAGAGGGAGACGGAGAGGAAAAGGAGGUGGCGUUGACGGUGACAGUGGCUGAAAAGAGAGGGUUGUGAUCUUUUCCUUGUUUAGUGACUUGAUAGGUAGGCAACUCCCAUCCUCUCUGCUGGCACACUGCUUGAAGCUUUGAUUUGUACAUUGUUGGCGUCUCUUGCUCUCUGCUUCUUUUUAGUGGCAUUGGCCUUUGCCUUUGCCUUUGCCUUUGCCUGUGAGUGAUGAUUAAAUAGAAUGCAUCAACACACGUGUACGUGUUGUGCGACUUCUUGUCAGUUAAUUAAUUCCCUUGCAAGGGAAGGUUUCUUUUUCUUUACUUUUUUAUUUUUAUUUUUAUUUAUUCUUAUUCUUCUUUUUCUCGUGAUUUUCUAGAGAAAAUGUCAAGAAUCAUUCUUGCUUGCAUUUGCUCACCAACUAAUGUCGGUCAAAAUUCAUUUUUUUAGUUUAAAAUUAAUUUUUUUAUGUUUUUUAAUUUUUUUAAUGUAUUAAUGUCAAAAAUAAAUUUUAAAAAAUUAAAAAAUAUAUUAUUUUAAUAUAUUUAUAAACAAAAAAUACUUUUAGAAAAAAAUUUCAAUACUUUCAAUCACCUUCUUAAAAAAACAUGAGAUGCUACGUGUAUUUGUUUUUACUUGAUUGUUCUAUUUUUUUAUAUUAAGUUUACUAAUACACCCUUAUUUAAUUAUUUUUACUAAUAAUUAUAUUAUACAUCACAAAAACUUGGGGUGGAAACAAGCAAAUCAACUUCGAAGGUAAGGUGCUUUAAAGGCAAGGUGGAGACAAGGAUGUGAAAUUGAAGAGACAUCAUUUACUACUAAAUAAUUUUCUUCUAAAAUUUUCUUCUAGAUUAGGUGGGCAUUGGUUUUUAUUACUCAAGAUUAGUCGUACUAUUAAGAUAGUAUUUGGAAAUAUAGUGUAAAUCAUGUUUUUAAAAUUUAAUUUUUUUUACUAAAAAUUAAUUUUUUUUUAUGUAUUUUGAAUCGUUUUAUUGCGUUGAUCUCAAAAAUAAUUUUAUAAAAUAAAAAAACAUCAUUUUAAUGCAUUUCGGCACGAAAAGCACUUUAAAAAGCAACCGCAACCACACUCAAUGAAAUUUGUUGAUCAAAAUCAUUAAGAGGAUUUAAUUCAUAAUUUAUUAUAUUCAGCAAAAUUUGGCCUGUUUAUUUUUACGUUUCAAAAGCGUUUUUGAAAAAAUUUGAAAAAGUUUUAUUUUUUUAUUUACUUCAAAUUAAUAUUUGCUUGGUGUUUUUAGAUCAUUUUGAUGCGCUGAUAUCAAAAAUAAUUUUUUAAAAAUAAAAAAGUAUUAUUUUGAUAUUUUUCUGGGUGAAAAACACUUUAAAAAUCAACCGCAAGUACCAUACUUCUAAAUAGACACUAAAGAAUCGGUAAAAGUAUUAAUCUAAAUACAUUAACAUCCAAAAGUUCACUUGAGUGCACAAACUAGUAAUGACAUUGAUUUUCAUCACAAGGUACACUAACGCAAUUUGAUGCCUUUCAAAAAAAUUAAUUCAAAAAUAAAAUAUAAUAUGGAAUGAGAUAUGAAAAAAAAAAAAAAAAAAGGGAAAAGAAUCAUUGUUAAGCCAAUACGACUGGUAUCAUAGUCUAUCUUGAACUUGAAGCAAAUAAUUUGAUUUAAAAUGAUAAAAAAGAAAUAAAUAAAUAAAAAGGGUAUUGUUACAAUCUGCAAAUUCUACACGUGUUAUAAUCAAAGAUGUACAUGAUGGAAUGAAAGGAAACAACACCAGCAGUUGGAAUGAAGGAUAGUAUCAGAUGCAAAUAAAAAAAAUAAAAUAAAAUAUUCAAAUUAAAAUAAAAUAAAAUACAUAAACUCGAUUUGAAAUAAAAUUAAUUGUUUUUAUACACUUGGAAUACAUAUAAGCCUGCCACGUGUUAAUUUAACAACUACAUUAGCAUAUGCAUUAGUAGAAUCAAUCAAAAUCACUUGAUUACAAAAAUUGAACGAUUACACACUUGAAUAUUAAAAUUGAAAGUAGAAGACAAAAACUCAAAUACUAAUCAAAGUAUUUAAUGGUGAUCACAUCAGCAUCUAUAUUAAUAAUUGAUUGGAUAAUGUCAUUGAAGUUAGAAUAAUACACAUGAAUAUGGAUGAAGAGGGAGCCACUACAUAAAUAAAAAGGAAUUAAAUAAGAAUAAGGUAUACUAAUCAAAGUUAAUAUAAGCUCUAGAUUUAGAAAAGAAAUCUAGAUUUAAAAUAAAUUUAAAAAGGUAAAAAAAAACCUAAAAAUAUGAUAUUUGAAAAGGUUCAUAAAUUUUUGAAAAACAAUAUUGAAAACUCUUCCUUCACUCCACCCUCUUUUUAUAGUGGAUUUUUAAACCAAAACUGAUACAAGAAUUAAUUCUCACUAUUAUCGGCUUUGAUUACCCUUCAUAAAACCAUAAUUAAACCUCAAUAUUUUAGCUUUAGAUUUGAUUUUUUUUAGCAAAAAAACUUUAGAGGUUUAAAAAGACUCUUUUGAAAGAAAACUGAUCAAAUUCAUGGGCUGAACUGAAUGAAAUAAUAGAUUGGCAAAAAUAGAUCUUUAAAGGUCACACAAAAACCUAAAGACCCUAGCUCGAGUCGAGCCAUGCACUUGCAUGUGGGCUAAACCCAUACCAAAUUGCUUAGGUUUAUUUAUGUCCCUACAACUUCCCCUUAAAUAGACUUCAAGACAAUCAUGUAUAUUUUCUAUGUGUGAUAUAAGUUUUUGGGUUUUAAUAAACAUGUCAGCCAAGGGUUUUUAGAUCAAUUUUUUAUAUACCCAUAAUUUGUUUUAAUCAUGUUAAUGUUCUUUAUUAAAGAACUUUUGUAGAAAAAUAAUUUUCAACAAAGUUUUAACUUUGAAAGUGAGUGAAACUCACUUUAAAUCUAAACUCAAAUAUGUCCAUUAACUAUAUUUUAUUAAAAAAUCUCAAUAUUCCCCCACAUGAAUGAAAUUAUCUUACUGGUAUAAAAAACUCAAAUAUAUAUAGAGAUAUAAUGAUUUGGGGAAUCAUUACAAAAGGAUGAGUAGUUUUUAGCUUUGAACUUUUCUUAAUAAAAUACUAUUAAAUUUACUUGGUUAAAUAAUGAAUUUAAUGUAUUGAACUAUUCAGUCUUUUGUGUAAACCAGUAUAAUAUCUUUCACAUGGUUUUUCAUUUAGAUAUUUUCUUUUAUUUUUCACUGCUGUAUUUAUUUUAGCAUUGAACAAUUCUUGGAUUCAUGAGUACUUUAGAUAAUUCAUCAUUUUAUCAAAAUUUUCAAAGAAAUAACCAUAUUGAUCACUCAUAUAGGUAAUCUUUCAUUAAAAGUAUUUCUCUAUACUUCAUAUGGCAUACCAAGAUAUAAAAAUUAUCAAAAACAUAGCUCACCCUUUAUCAUCCUAUAACCAGUGCAUGUUUCAUUAUAUGAAUAAACAAGAAAUAAUAUUUUCUGAGUUCUAUCAAAAAAGUUAUAUGACUUAGUUUUUCAUUUUAAUAUAGAUCUUAGAAUCUUUGAGAAAUUAGGUAUGGUUACCAUUAUUAUUUUUUUUUUUUAUCUUUAAAGGUUUAAAUCUCAUUUUCCUCGAUGAAUUAUACAAAAUUUCUCUCAAUAAAUAUUUGGUUAGCAGAUCUAAUAUAUAUUUUCUUUGAAUUUAUAUAGUUAAUGAAAAUAAUUCAAUUUGAAAGCAUGUGUUUAACAAUAUGUGUGUGUGUUAUACACACUAUUUUGUGUCUUUCUAAUUACAGACUAACUGUUGCAAUUGAAACAAAUUGAUAACAUUGGUUUUGGUCAAUAUGGAAUAUCCUCUAGAAAUUCUGAAGUCACUUAGCUUCCUCUCUAGAUUUACCAAGCACAAUAAACUCCAAUUUCAUCAUUCAUCUUGUGAUAGAGUUUUAUUAGAGGAUUUUCAUGACAUAAUUGUGCCAUCAAAUGUGAAGAUAUCUUAACUAGUGGAUUUCAAAUCCUUAAUAUUAAAUAUUUUUUGGCAUCACGAUACCCUUCUAGUACCGCUAAGUAAAUAAUAUAGUGUAGUCUAUAGUCCAAAGUAUAUCUCAACUACUUGAGUAUCCCUUUUAUUGCUUUUCAAUGAUCCAUACUCUAAUUAUUGGUAAAUCUACUCAAUUUACUAAUCGAGUAAACAACAUCAGGUCUUGUACAAUUCAUGACAUACAUUAGGCUUUUUAAUUUUUUAAAAAAUAUUUUAAUUAGUUUAUUCUCUUAUAUCUAUAUUAAAUAGAUGUAAACUUAUGUCAAUUUGUAUUUUGACAGUUCUAUUAUCGCUUUUUAAAAUUUAUCGAUAAUUUUCUCAAUAUAAUGAGAUUCGAACAAUACCAAUUCAUUAGAUGCACUAGAAUUUUUUAUUCCUAGUAUGACAUGUCCAACACCCAAAUCUUUCAUGUCAAACUUAUUAAUUAAUAUUUUUUCAGUAGACUCAUCAUGUGAUCAUUGCUACCUAACAUUAGCAUGUUUUCAACAUAGAGACAUAUAAUGACAUAAUUUGUAUCUAUUUUUAUAUAUAUAAACAUAUUUAUCAAUUUUAUUAAUUUAAAACUUAUUUGACAAUAAAACCUUGUCAAUUUUUUUUAUGUCAUUAUUUAGGUAAUUAUUUUAAACCAUAUAAUAACUUCACAAACUUAUAGACUUUCUUUUCUUGUUCACUUACAAUAAACCCCUCGAGUUGUUCUAUCUUUUAGUCAAGGUCACCAAUUAAGAAAGAUAUUCAUACAUCUAUUUGAUGUAUUUCAAGUUUGUUGUUAGUUAUGAUGGCUAUUAACAUUGGAAUGAAAGUUAUUUUUGAUAUCGGUAAAUAAGUGUCCAAAUAAUCCACACCUUCAUGUUAUUUGAAUCCUUUAACAAUAAGUCUUACUUUUUAUUUAUCAAUAGUUCUGUCACACCCUCGCGGCGGAGCGUGGUGUCGCGGUGACCCUCGAUUGGUUUCGGGGUCUUUAUUGUUUGUGUAAAAAGGAGUCGCCACCUAGUAUUAUGGUCACUAGGAAACCUAACUGGUCUUUCAGAGAUUCUAAGGCAAGGGACUAGUUGCGUAAAGGGAAGGUGUUAGCACCCCUAGUACGCCCUACCUAAGAUAAGUUGUUUGGUGUUUGGUUUGUCUUAUAAUUGCUAUGGUGUUGGUGUUUUCUAAUCCCAUCAGUUUUUUCUCGGUUUGAUUCUAACUAAAUUUAUUAAGAUAGAAAUCCAAGGAGAUUCCAUGUGCUUUAAAAGCUCAUUUUUCCCUUAGUAUUUCAAGAGUUUGUGACUCGUAAAUCGCAAGGAGGAGGGACAAAAAUUUAGAAAUCUAGAGCGCUUUAAAAGCCUAUUUUUGUCUUAGUGUUUUAUACUCUCACGGCUCGUAAACCGUGGAGUAAAAAAUUGAAAUGUCCUCAAUUAUAAUCGAGGCUUCUUUCAAUGAUGUGUAAUGACUUAUUAUUCCUAGAAAAUAAUAUUUGUUGUGUUUAAGAAAUCAAUGCGAAAACACAUUUUCAAAACUCCCAAUAUUUUUUGUAUAAAAAAAAGACCGUUCAAAACAUGUUAGGGUAUUGGCCGUAUGCAACACACAAGAAAACAAAUUUUGAUAUAUAUGUAUAUUUGCCGCAGUUGCGUCGAAAACCGGGUAUUCUAAAUACGAGAUUGGUAUAUUUUUUUUUACAACAUAAAAAAAUUCAGACUUUAAAAUAAAUAUUCCAGAAAAUAAAUCUCUUUCUCUUUCUUUUAUUUUUUUUUAAAAAAAUGUAAGUCCGGCUGGGUGGGCAAGUGACCCGGCUGGACACAAAAAAGGGGGCGCAGUUAUAGUUCAAAGAAGGCUGGCGAAUACUGUUCAAGUGAAUUAAUUCACUUGAACAGUGCAACACACAAAACAGAAAAACGCAUGUUGCGAGGUGAAGAGAAAACAGACCUGGGAACGGAAGCGAAGAAGUUGCAGCGACGUUGAAAGCGUGAUGGUUGAUCCGUGUUCGGCUGUUUCAAAUCUUUUCCUCCUGCUCUGUAUUUGCGUCUGUUUUUCUGGUUUUCUUUCCUCUGCGUCUUCGUUAGUCCCUCUCCAACGGGUUCCUGCACUUCCUUCGUCCCUGCUGCAGAUUUUAUAUGCAAAAAAAAUGAAGCCAAGACCAACAGGUAGUCCCUGCUGGUUUAUGGUUUCUCUUCUCUUUUCCCUUUUUUUCUCUUUUUUCUCUUCUACAGUCAAUCUUCCCAACCUCACAGUAACACUAGCGAAUGAAAGAAACUUUCUCUAUUCUCUGCGUUUUUCUCACCUACUGUCUGCCUCUCUUUUGUACUUUUUUUUCUCGUCUUUCUUUUUGCUCGUUUUUCCUGCCCUUUCUUUUUUUUUUCUCCUCCCAUUUCUAGGUCAUUAGAGGGGCUUAUAUAUAGUCUAACAUAUCUCUAUUUAGGAAAGAUUUAAUGCAUUAAUUCUAGGAUGCAAAUCCCUACUGAUUUGCAGUAAAAAAAACACAAAAAGGAAACUGCAAUAUUCUGAUUUUGAUUUUGUGCUCACGUCUGAUUUCUUUCCAGUUUUAGAGGAUGGUGUGGCUCUUUUCUUUCCUUCCAUAGGACCAGCUGCUCCCUUUGAAAUGAGGCAAUAAAAACGUGGUCUGCAGCUCUCCAUUCAAGCGAGAGAAACAUGGAAACCAAACAAGAAAUUUCAGAUAAAAAGGAAAGAAAGAAAACGGCUAGUUGUGCAGGUAAACGUGUUUUCUUCAAUGUCUUCCUUCGGCAAAAUUCCUUUAUAUUUUUUAUCUUCAAUCAUCCUCCUUAUUUUAGCACUUUUUCCAUUUGGUCCUUGGUCAAAAAAGGAUUCAAAUUGGCCUGCAAUUGGUCUUCAAUCUUUAAGCAUCUUGCAAUUGUGUCCUUGCAAACUCGGGCAAAAAUCCUUCUCGCGGCAGGAAUCCCUGCUUUCACACUAGAUUUCAAACAGGAAUAUCUUGAGCUUCUGAUAUCGAAAUCAAUCAAUUCAAAAGCCCAAAUUCAUCUAUGUGCCCCGGACUACAACUUUGAUGAAAGAUUCAAAGUGAGAUAAAAUCGUUUUAGAUAACAGAAUUUGGCAGGGAUCUAGUUAGUCAAAAAGGUUUUCUUAAUCUAACAAUGCCGAGCAUCCAAAUCUGACUGAGAAUCUGCUAUAAGAACAGUGACCCCUAGGACCCGAUAAAGGUGUAGGUCAAUUCUUCAACAUGUCAUGAGUGACAAAAUAUAGCUAGGAUGGUCAGAUAUCGUACGAAACCAAGUCAGAAUCAGAACCUAAGUUCGAACAAAAAAUUGCGACAGCAGCAGAAUCAGUUUUUUUUAGUACAAAUUCUAAGGGAUUUAUCCAAUCUUAAAAACAAGAUAACGAAUGAACGAAUUUAGCAUUAUGAAGACCCCUAGUCAGUCUAAGAAACCUGAUGAUUUUGGCAGCAAAGGGGGAGGAUAAAAAAAAGUAGAAAACAGCUCAAACAGGUUUCGAAAAAAAAAUAUUUCUUUCUCCUCCGCUUUUGUCAAUUUUCCAGCAAAUAUGAGCUACACUCCUACACUCGGUUCAAAACGGGCAUGCACCGUCUCCAGCACGUGGGGUCCAAAAUUGAGUAACAACAUAUGCCCCCUCUUUACAAUGCUUACGAAGCAAAACUUGUCAAGUGCUUCGCGUAGUAAGUGUUGUAAAGAUAAAUUGUCUGAUCAUGCUAAAAACUCAAUGCUUUUUCUUAAACAAUGAUCUCCCUAUCAGGUGACCUACCUAUCUUAAGAUUUCUAGAAAAACUUCACGCUUUUCAAAGAAAUGGUUCAAUUAUCGGGUGACCUGUCCACUUUAAAAUUCUUAGAAAACUUCACGCUUUUCUAAGAAACGGUUUCAAUAUCAGGUGACCGGCCCAACCUAAACUUCUUAGAAAACUCCACGCUUUUCUAAGAAACGGUCUCAAUAUCAGGUGACCGGCCCCUCUUAAAAUUCUUAAAAAACUCCACGCUUUUCUAAGAAAUGGUCUCAAUAUCGGGUGACCUGCCUAUCUUAAGAUUCUUAGAAAACUCCACGCUUUUCUAAGAAACGAUCUCAAUAUCAAGCGACCGGCCCAUCUCAAAAAUUCUUAGAAAACCCUAUGCUUUUCUAAGAAACGAUCUUAAUAUCAGGUGACCGGCCCAUCCUAAAAUUCUUAGAAAACUAAAGCAAAAAUUGAAGAAAUAAUCAUUCUCAAGGUCAAUCACUCUGAAAAGGCUUCGUCCAAAACCACAACAUCUACAUCCUCCACAUCAAUAUUGUCAAUGAGAUUGCCCGUGGAAGGCUGGUACUGCUACUGCUUCAGAUUCAUUCCCCUCUAUCACCACCUUCUUGUAAUCUAUGGUGUCCACUUGCAAAGAAGCAAUCAUAACAAGACCGUCAUAACAAGACCGUCAUCAGUUCCAACCUCCAAAUCUUUGUCUCUCAAUUUCACUUUCUUGGUGCUUCGACUCCUAAAAAGCAUUUGGAAUCCAUGAUUAAUGGGAUCUUUUUUUUUACUUUCUGACGACAGUUAUAACAUUGAAUUUUGAAUAUUGGAUGAUGAGAGAGGAAGCUCAUCCAUUUUACUUGAAUUGUUCAUCUUUAAGGUCGUAGGCUGUGUUCGAUUCUCGAUGCUUGAGCUUGUGGCUAAAUUAGUGGGGGAAUAAGAAGGCAAAGAAGAUGAAGUCAGGUCAUGUUUUGGCGAAGAAGAGAUGGCUGCCGCAGGCGAAGGUGUGAUGCUUGCCAUAGCUGAACAACUAUCUUGCCCUGGAGAUGCAAUGGAGGGAUUAUGAUUGCUAACUACAGAAUUUGCU
rnacentral:lncRNA from 1 species